rnacentral:rRNA from 1 species
UACGUAGGUGGCAAGCGUUGUCCGGAAUUAUUGGGCGUAAAGCGCGCGCAGGCGGUUCUUUAAGUCUGAUGUGAAAGCCCACGGCUCAACCGUGGAGGGCCAUUGGAAACUGGAGAACUUGAGUACAGAAGAGGAAAGCGGAAUUCCACGUGUAGCGGUGAAAUGCGUAGAGAUGUGGAGGAACACCAGUGGCGAAGGCGGCUUUCUGGUCUGUAACUGACGCUGAGGCGCGAAAGCGUGGGGAGCAAACAGG